rnacentral:rRNA from 1 species
UUGUGGUGUAGCGGUGAAAUGCAUAGAUAUCACGAGGAACUCCGAUUGCGCAGGCAGCUUACUAAACCAUAACUGACGCUCAAGCACGAAGGCGUGGGGAUCAAACAGGAUUAGAUACCCUGGUAGUCCACGCAGUAAACGAUGAUUACUGGCUGUUUGCGAUAUAAUGUAAGCGGCUGAGCGAAAGCGUUAAGUAAUCCACCUGGGGAGUACGUUCGCAAGAAUGAAACUCAAAGGAAUUGACGGGGGCCCGCACAGGCGGAGGAACAUGUGGUUUAAUUCGAUGAUACGCGAGGAACCUUACCCGGGCUUGAAAUGCGUCUGACAGUCGGAGAGAUCCGAUCUCCCUUCGGGGCAGACGUGUAGGUGCUGCAUGGUUGUCGUCAGCUCGUGCCGUGAGGUGUCGGCUUAAGUGCCAUAACGAGCGCAACCCUCAUCGUUAGUUGCCAUCAGGUAGUGCUGGGGACUCUAACGAGACUGCCAUCGUAAGAUGCGAGGAAGGUGGGGAUGACGUCAAAUCAGCACGGCCCUUACGUCCGGGGCGACACACGUGUUACAAUGGGUGGUACAAAGGGCAGCUACAUGGCGACAUGGUGCCAAUCCCCAAAACCACCCUCAGUUCGGAUCGGAGUCUGCAACUCGACUCCGUGAAGCUGGAUUCGCUAGUAAUCGCGCAUCAGCCACGGCGCGGUGAAUACGUUCCCGGGCCUUGUACACACCGCCCGUCAGGCCAUGGAAGCUGGGGGUGCCUGAAGUCCGUAACCGUUGAGGAGCGGCYUAGGGUAAAACCGGUGACUGGGGCUAAGUCGUAACAAGGUAWCCGUA